AUGUUGGUGGAUCUCCUCAACACAUCUACUCAACAGAUCUACUGUGCAUCACUGUGGUAUGUCUUCGGAGGAGGAACCCAGCUAACUGUCACAGGUCAGGAUCCAGUAUCUCCUUCAGUCCAAGUCUUUGCUCCUUCUGAGCAAGAGAUCAAAACCCAGAAGAAGGCCACUCUGGUAUGUCUCCUAAGUGGCUUUCACCCACCUGCUUUCACCCUGAAAUGGAAGGUUGAUGGUACAGAGACCACCUCUGGAGUGGAGACAACCAAAGCCACCAAGCAGGGUGACAAAUACCUUGCCAGCAGUUACCUGACCAGGAGUGAUUCCGACUAUGGAGACCAUACGUACGUCUGUGAAGUGAUACAUAAUGGAAAUACCUUUACAAAGGCUCUUACGGGAUCUGGAAGUUGUUAACUCCGUCAUGAGCCUUCUCCUGACCACAGACAGGAGGAAAGAGUCCCUUUUCUCAUUCAUUCUUUCCUAAGUUAAGCUUUUCAGGACCUGGAAGUUGCUAAAUCCAACUUGUGUCCUUUCCUGCCAUUCAGGCGGGAGAAUAGAGUCCCUUCUCCUGGGCUCUCAUUCAUUCUUUCCUAAGCUUAGCUUGAUCAAGAACAUCUCUUUCUAUCCCAUGUAGUUACACUGUUUGUAUCCCCUCCAUGCCUUCGUCCUUCAAAUCGAUCCCCCACUUGAUCUGUUAGAUUUUUACUGUCAGCAUAUAAAUAAAGAUGAAUCUAUUUCA